AUUGAACGCUGGCGGCAGGCCUAACACAUGCAAGUCGAAGUGGCGGACGGGUGAGUAACACGUGGGAACGUGCCUUUAGGUUCGGAAUAACUCAGGGAAACUUGUGCUAAUACCGAAUGCCUUUAGAGCGGCCCGCGUCUGAUUAGCUAGUUGGUGAGGUAAAGGCUCACCAAGGCGACGAUCAGUAGCUGGUCUGAGAGGAUGAUCAGCCACACUGGGACUGAGACACGGCCCAGACUCCUACGGGAGGCAGCAGUGGGGAAUAUUGCACAAUGGGCGCAAGCCUGAUGCAGCCAUGCCGCGUGUAUGAAGAAGGCCCUAGGGUUGUAAAGUACUUUCAGUCGGGAGGCGUUACCGACAGAAGAAGCACCGGCUAACUCCGUGCCAGCAGCCGCGGUAAUUC
rnacentral:rRNA from 1 species